rnacentral:rRNA from 1 species
AGUGAACGCUGGCGGUAGGCCUAACACAUGCGAGUCGAACGGCAGCACAGUAAGAGCUUGCUCUUACGGGUGGCGAGUGGCGGACGGGUGAGGAAUACAUCGGAAUCUACUUUUUCGUGGGGGAUAACGUAGGGAAACUUACGCUAAUACCGCAUACGACCUACGGGUGAAAGCAGGGGAUCUUCGGACCUUGCGCGAUUGAAUGAGCCGAUGUCGGAUUAGCUAGUUGGCGGGGUAAAGGCCCACCAAGGCGACGAUCCGUAGCUGGUCUGAGAGGAUGAUCAGCCACACUGGAACUGAGACACGGUCCAGACUCCUACGGGAGGCAGCAGUGGGGAAUAUUGGACAAUGGGCGCAAGCCUGAUCCAGCCAGACCGCGUGGGUGAAGAAGGCCUUCGGGUUGUAAAGCCCUUUUGUUGGGAAAGAAAAGCAGCAGGUUAAUACCCCGCUGUUCUGACGGUACCCAAAGAAUAAGCACCGGCUAACUUCGUG